rnacentral:rRNA from 1 species
AUGAACGCUAGCGGCAGGCUUAAUACAUGCAAGUUGAGGGGCAGCAUGAUAUACGCGAGUAUAGUUGAUGGCGACCGGCGGACGGGUGAGUAAUAGGUAGGACGACCUACCUCAUACAGGGGGAUAGCAUAGAGAAAUCUGUGGUAAUACCCCAUGAGGUUAUAUGAAUAGAGGCAUAUAAUCAAAGCAUAAGCGAUUAUGCGGUAUGAGAGGGGCCUACUGACCAUUAGCUAGUUGGUGAGGUAAGGGCUCACCAAGGCGAAGAUGGUUAGGGGUUUUGAGAGAGAGACCCCCCACAUUGGAACUGAGAGACGGUCCAGACUCCUACGGGAGGCAGCAGUAGGGAAUAUUGGGCAAUGGGCGAAAGCCUGACCCAGCCAUGCCGCGUGAAGGAAGACGGCCUUAUGGGUUGUAAACUUCUUUACUACGCGAAUAGAGGUUAGUACGAGAUACUAAUAGGAAGGUAGUGUAGUAAAAAGCACCGGCUAACUCCGUG